UACCACAGGCAGAAUACAUUUUUGUAAAACUGGGUACCAUGGACUUUAACAUUUAAACUUUAACACAGAGCUUGGGUUUGUUGGAUUGCUUGCUUGCUGUUUUUUUUUAAUAGGCAAAGGACCUCCAGCUCCAAGGCUCUUUUAUGGUCUGCCACAUGUUCUUUGACCUUCUCCUCUUUUUGUAUAUGCCUUGUACGGUAUGGAAUCCCACAACAUCCUCUCCAGGGCUUUUCACUUGGGAUGAAGAAAAGGAUUUCUGUGUGCUUUGAAGCUUGUACAGGCUGCUUCAACAGGAAGCCAGAACUUCUGUCAGUCAACAGCACAUGCAAAAUUUAUCAAGUAUAUGUCUUGACACAGAGGUUGCUCUGUCAUUUCUAGCUAAAGGGGGCCUGCCAAAGACUCUUUUUUAUGGAAACAUGUGCUGCCAAAGGCAAAGUGUCCAUUGAUUGAUGGCCACAGCUGACCUCAAUGUACAGAAAGUACUGUGCAACACUUU